rnacentral:siRNA from 1 species
CUCGGCAUCAGCGUGCUCCGGGC